CCUACGGGAGGCAGCAGUAAGGAAUAUUGGUCAAUGGACGCAAGUCUGAACCAGCCAUGCCGCGUGGAGGAUGAAGGUCCUCUGGAUUGUAAACUUCUUUUAUCUGGGACGAAAAAGGGCCUUUCUAGGUCAACUGACGGUACCAGAUGAAUAAGCACCGGCUAACUCCGUGCCAGCAGCCGCGGUAAUACGGAGGGUGCAAGCGUUAUCCGGAUUCACUGGGUUUAAAGGGUGCGUAGGCGGGCAUGUAAGUCCGUGGUGAAAUCUCCGAGCUUAACUCGGAAACUGCCAUGGAUACUAUGUGUCUUGAAUGUUGUGGAGGUGAGCGGAAUAUGUCAUGUAGCGGUGAAAUGCUUAGAUAUGACAUAGAACACCAAUUGCGAAGGCAGCUCACUACACAAAUAUUGACGCUGAGGCACGAAAGCGUGGGGAUCAAACAGGAUUAGAUACCCUGGUAGUCCACGCCCUAAACGAUGAUUACUCGACAUACGUGAUACACAAUGUGUGUCUGAGCGAAAGCAUUAAGUAAUCCACCUGGGAAGUACGACCGCAAGGUUGAAACUCAAAGGAAUUGACGG
rnacentral:rRNA from 1 species